CUUCCUUCCUUCCUUCCUUCCUUCCUUCCUUCCUUCCUUCCUUCCUUCCUUCCUUCCUUCCUUCCUUUUUUGAGUGGAGGAGGAAAUGGCAAACUAUUCCAACAUCUUUGCCAAGAAAAUCCUAAACGGGGUCACAAAGAGUCAGACAUGACUGAAAUGACUCCACAACAAUGACAUUGAAGAUCAAAUGAGAUAAUGUAUAUUUGUAUCUCCAUAAAUAUAUAAAUAAAAUUUUCAACUGUCUCAGCCAUCAAAUCUAACCCAAAUAUGCACAUCAACCUUCAGCUGUCUCUGAUUAUUCCUCAUCUUUCCCAAUCUCCACUUUGGUCAGCAAAGAGUCCAUAGAUGAAGGUCACACUGCCCAUGUGCUCCUCCCCAAUCAGUUCAGCUCCUCUUAGGCUAGAUGGAUACUGAGUCCUGUCCUGUCUUUCAAUCAAAUCUUCUUCAUAAUUCAUAUUAUAACAAAUAAAUAAAGUAAAUGCCUGCAAGUAUUACUUGGUAAGUAUUAGUAUUUUAGAUGUUAGAAAAUCAAACAAUGAUAUUUGUUGAAACACCAUAAAAAUUUGAAAAUAUAGAUUAGACAUACAUUUAAUUUCUAUUUGAAGUUCCUAGGGUAUAGAAAACCUAUCUUUUGUCAUUUGUUGCCUUUGUAUCCAUUUAGCAAAUUCAUUCCAUGAACAGAACACAUAAGAACAUGGGGUUCUAAAAAUGAUAUGAGCUGGCACAUUUGCAAAGAGUGAUUAAGUUACCAACUGAAUUCAACUCUUUGGGCUAUAUUUAGACACUGUAUUUGGCAAAUAUAAGACAUGUAUACUUUCAGCAAGCCUAAGGUAUGAAAAUCUUGAUUUGUACAAAAUGUAACAUAGAAGAGAGUUCCUUUAAGUAAGAAACUCCUCUGGUGUUUACAAUUUUGUCUUUAAAAACCCUUCUAACUCUUAAAAAGUGUAAUGCUGUGAUUUACCUUCAUCAUCCAAAAAUGAUUACAGAAUUUUUAUAUUUGUUGACCAAUAAAGCAAGGUACACCAGUAAAGAGUCUUAAACUUUGAAUUAUAUCAAUUUCAGCAUAUAAUGAUAGCCAUCAUAAAUAUAAUAGGCAGCUACUAGUGUCAUGGUUUCAGGGGCUCAAAGUUUCCUAGCCUAAAAUAUAACACCUUUUGUCAAGCAGCUGGUAAAACAGUGGAUAGAGCCCUAUAGUCAGGGAGACAAGUUCAGAUACAGCUUCAGAUGCUUCCUACUUAUGUAACCCUAAGGAAAUCACCUAUAAAAUAGAUAUAAUGUAGAAUAAAUCCUAAAUGCUUGUCUCCUUCCAUAUAGGUCUGUAAUCUUUACCAUUUGAGUCAUAGAGUGUUAGAAAUGAAAAAGCCUAUAUUAAUUGUACUUGGCAAUUGUAAAAUCCAGCUUCUCAUUUUAUAGUUGAAGAAACUGAGACCCAAAGGAGUAGACUUCACCAAGGUGGAAUAGCUAAUAAAUAAAAAAGUCAGGACCCAAAUGAAGGUUUUCUGACUCUAAAUCCAGUGUUCUUGACAUUAUAAUGUUUCCACUAAUGUGCUUGUAACUUUUGCUUUACUUUUGCCUAGAAUUCCCCCCAAGCCCAUGGCAUUGGUCAAUACCAUGUAUUGGUAGUAUUGGAAGAAGAUUUGAUUGAAAGACGGGACAGGACUCGGUAUCCAUCUAGCCUAAGAGGAGCUGAACUGAUUGGGGAGGAGCAAUGGGAGGGUUCAUGGGCAGUGUGACCUUCAUCUAUGGACUCUUUGCUGACCUAAGUGGAGAUGGCAAAUGAUGAGGAAUAACCAGAGACAGCUGAAGGUUGAUGUGCAUAUUUGGGUUAGAUUUGAUGGCUGAGACAGUUGAAAUUUUUUCUUCUCUUUGCUUUUUAAUGGGUGCUUAGCCUGAAGCUAAGUUCUCCAUUUAACUGCUGGACAAUUUAUUUCCUGAUUCCCUUCUGCUUAACGAAAGGAGUGAAAGGCAUAGUGUUGUUUUCAAAGGUGGUGUUGUUUAACCCUCCCUCACUCUUUGUAACUCCAUUUGGGGUUUUCUUAGCAAAGAUACUUGGAGUGGUUUGCUAUUUCCUUCCCCAGUUCAUUUUACAGAGGACGAAACUGAGUUAAACAGUUAAAUGAUUUGUGGAAAAUCAUAUAGUUAGUGUUUGAGGCUAGAUUUGAACUCAGGAAGAUGAGUCUUCCUGCUUUCAGACCUGGCACUCCUUCUACUAUGCCAUCUAGUUGCACUGUUGAUCAAAGGUAGCAAGCAUUUAAACUUCUAUUUCCCUGUUAAAUCUUUUCAUUUCUUUGCUAUUUUAAUUGUUUGAUAAAACUGAUAACCAACAACCCUGACUGAUAUAGUUAAUUAUACCAGUGGGGUAUAAUUGGAAGAGAAAGAUAAUUUUUUUUUCUUUUAAAGAGGGAGAUUUUUUUUUCCUUUUAAGUGAAAGUUGGAUUGGAGAAGACUCUGGAACCAAUUGGUGAAAGAGGAUAUGAAUCCAGACUAUCUGCUAGACCAGAGAUGCUUAACUUGAGAUAUAUGGACAGAUGUAGUAAAGCUCAUUGCUCUGGGACUCUCUUUUCACUAAUGGAGAUCAGUCCCCUGCCCCUGGACAGGAUAGAGCUGUAAAGUGGGAGAGAGAAGCUCUUCAGACUCUCCAGUUGCUAAAGAACACUUCUGACUUCCAGCUUCAAAAGAGAAGAUGGAUGAUGCCAACCUCACUUUAGAUUGUUGAAGGAAGACUAAGAUUCUGGGGAAAAGUUGACAUGAGAGAAGCCAGUGGUCUUCACCAUGUCCACAUCCUCAACCUACUACACUAGGGACUUUGGGAAAUUUCCUCUUUAGAUGAGAUAUAUAACUCUAUUGACUGGUUUAACUAAUUUCUAAUGAAAAAGGUUUCUCAUCCUUAAUUUUCUGGCAUAUAUUCUCAUAUAUAUGCUUUCUUUGAUUUCUAUUGACUUAAAUAAGUGGAUUUCUUUGUUGUUUGUGAUGUGUGUGCUCAUUGUGAAACUAGUAUUUCGUAGGAAAGGAAUCAAGCCUUGUAUAUAAAUAUUAAGGUCUUCUUUCCCCCAUUAAUAAAUACAUUAGCCUGAACAUGAAAACUGCAUUCACUAGACCAAUAAGCAUAAGGGAACAAUUCUAGUCUGGUGUCCCCAUUUUCUGAGGAGAGCAGAGUGGCCAAGUCUUUGACCUCAACCUUUUGCUUCCUUCCUGGAAUGAAUUAAAACCUUCCUUUGAGAAAUAUGGGGGAGGAGAUGCUAGAUUGUCUACUCUGACUUCCCUUUGAGCCAUUCAACAACACCCCCAUUCUACAUAGAGAGGAUAGCCUUGCUAUACAUUAAAAAGACAUUCUUCUGAGAAGGAAUCCAUAAUCUUCUUCAAAUUGCCAUUAGGGGUCCGGAGACAACCCCAGAAUGCCAUGGAGGUCCAUGGCAUAUAAAAAAGUUAAGCACCCUUGAUCUAAACCUUUAUACAUAAUUAUGGAGACCCACAAUUGGAAAAAAGGGUUGAGGAAAGUCCCAUUCAGAGAGAAAACUGGCACCUCAGUUACUGAGCUGUUUGGCUUUGAUAUUACUAUGGCUGGCUAGCUAGCAUGAGACUGCUACUGGCCUUGCCUGGUGUUAGAGUUCCCCAAGCAUCAAACACAGACCUCACCAAGUAAAACUAUUAUUACACCUGGGUUUUACAUUACAUAUGGACUAUGUGAAUUUAGAGAAUAACCUAGUAGCCUUAUUCUUUAUGGGGAAAAGAAGGGCACAAUAAGCUGCUCAAUUGAAAAUCCUCCCAAAUAAGUAUAACUCCUCUCUCUACUUCUAUCCCCUUUUCUUUCUUUUUCCCUUUCUCCCUCAGUUUCCAAGCUGAAAUUCUCUGGUCCAAAUUUUUAAUGAAGUUAUUGAGAAUUUAAUUAAGUAGGGAUAUCUUCCCGUCAGACUCAGGCCAAACCCUCUUUUCCAGAGGACCCUCUGUGUUGCUAGCAUUUCUAUAGGAUGGAGCAGUGAGAACAACAAAACUGUCACUAGUCCAUACUUCUCUCAAUACUGUUUUACUUCUAACAUUUCUUUUAGGUUUAACUGGUACAGAGAAAACUAAAACAAAAAUAUCAGAAAGGAAACCCCAGAAAAGAAUAAUUUGUGAAAGGUUAGAUUUUUUUUUAAUUAUGAUAGUCAACAGAUCUGCUGAGUUUUCAGAGUUGGAUCAGAUACCUCAGUAUUUGUCUGAUGAUCAUUUUUUUUUAUCCUCCUGGAGAUGAGGAACAAAUCUGGCAGAUACAAAACUCUGUUUCCAUCUUACCCACAAUCUUCCCCAUUGUGACAGAAAUAUACAUUUCUGCAGCCACAAAAUACUUUAAGCUUACACCCACUGAUUUGUCAUUAUAGAUUGUCACAAAGUCCUUUUUUAGGAUAAUAAUACCAGUCUGAGUAGAGCAGAAAUGUUGCUCAUAGUACAAUAGGACAUAAAUUUGGAAAGUUGAAUAGUCAGCCCAAGUGUCUAGUAGGGUGCAGCUAAGUGGUACAGUGAGUGGAUAGAUUGCUGACCUGGAGUCUGGAAGGUACUUAUUCCUGAGUUCAAAGAUAGCUUCAGACACUGGGUAAUCUUAGGCAAGUCAUUUAACCCUGUUUGCCUUAGUUUCCUCAUUUGUAAAAUGAGCUGGAGAAAAAAAUGGUGAACUACUCCAGUAUCUUUUUCAAGAAAUUCCCAAGUUGAGUCAGGAAAGUCAUACUUGAUGGUAUAAUAACAAAAAUUGUCCAAAGUCUUCAAAAUUAUUUUUACAUAUUGAAUCACUUGGGAUGAUUUCAUUAAUAUUCUUCUUGUUUCAUAGUUACUUGAUAUAAAAUAUGUUAUGCUUCUACACAUAUGUAUUUCCUUUAAAAUAUGAAAACCUACUGACAUUCUAUCAGUGUUAUUGUCUUAAGUGAGUAAUGGUUAGUGUAAGUCACUUUGUCACCAGAUCUGCAUAACCCAGAUUUAAAUGCAAACCACAUCCUACAUGUUGCUUUUAAUUUUUCAUGUUUCUGUUCGUGGUGUUUAACAUUUUUGUAUGUCCUAACUGGUUUUAAAAUGUAAUUUCCUUAGAUUUUAUAGAUUUAUGGUUUAUUUUUCUUGUUAUUUGAAAUAAAAGAUUAGCAAUGUGCCUGUU